rnacentral:rRNA from 1 species
AGUGAACGCUGGCGGUAGGCCUAACACAUGCAAGUCGAACGGCAGCACAGUAAGAGCUUGCUCUUACGGGUGGCGAGUGGCGGACGGGUGAGGAAUACAUCGGAAUCUACUUUUUCGUGGGGGAUAACGUAGGGAAACUUACGCUAAUACCGCAUACGACCUACGGGUGAAAGCAGGGGAUCUUCGGACCUUGCGCGAUUGAAUGAGCCGAUGUCGGAUUAGCUAGUUGGCGGGGUAAAGGCCCACCAAGGCGACGAUCCGUAGCUAGUCUGAGAGGAUGAGCAGCCACACUGGAACUGAGACACGGUCCAGACUCCUACGGGAGGCAGCAGUGGGGAAUAUUGGACAAUGGGCGCAAGCCUGAUCCAGCCAUACCGCGUGGGUGAAGAAGGCCUUCGGGUUGUAAAGCCCUUUUGUUGGGAAAGAAAAGCAGCAGGUUAAUACCCCGCUGUUCUGACGGUACCCAAAGAAUAAGCACCGGCUAACUUCGUG